rnacentral:tRNA from 1 species
GGAAGUUUGGGUGAGUGGCUGAAACCACCAGUUUGCUAAACUGACGUACGGGCAACCGUACCGGGGGUUCGAAUCCCCCAGCUUCCGCCA